rnacentral:rRNA from 1 species
UACGACGGGCUGCGAACUCGCGAGAGUAAGCGAAUCCCUUAAAGCCGGUCCUAGUUCGGAUUGGAGGCUGCAACCCGCCUCCAUGAAGUCGGAGUUGCUAGUAAUCGCGGAUCAGCAUGCCGCGGUGAAUACGUUCCCGGGUCUUGUACACACCGCCCGUCACACCACCCGAGUCGUCUGCACCCGAAGUCGCUGGCCCAACCCUUGUGGAGGGAGGCGCCGAAGGUGUGGAGGGUAAGGGGGGUGAAGUCGUAACAAGGUAGC